UCCCACCUCUCUGCAGCGCCUCCUGGUGGCUGUGGAUGACACCCUGGAGCAGGGCCGUCUGACUGUAGGAGAUUUGUCCCAGUGGUCCACAGAGCAGCACAGGGACAUGGGUCAGGUGGGAAAGCAUCUGCUGAAGGUGCAGUCCACAGUGCAGGGCUCAGCUGGGGGAGGGCACAGGAGGAACUGAAGCGUGAAUGGGCAAAGGACCAAGCAAGACUAGGAGGCCCAGGCAUCCAGGAAGGAGACAGAGAGGAGACUGCAGGACGAACAUGAGGAGCUGAGGUGAGGCUCCAUGUCAUUGGAGGAUAGCAACUCCAAACUGAAGGCAGAGAUUGGUUUGCAACAAGAAAGGUUACACAAACUCGAGUGUGAGAGAGAUAAGCUACAUCAGGAAAUGAAGGCCUUGCAGGUAGAGGAAGAGGCACUGAAUAAACUAGAGGAGAAGACACAAACACUGGAGGCUCAACUGUCCAGUGCUCAGCUCUUACUUGACAAAGAGAACUCCAAGUACCAGAAUGCAUGUCACCAACAGGAGUCACUGCAGGCCAAGCAGAUGUCUCUAUUGGAGCGAGCGGAUGCUCUGGACCAGGAGUGUGAGGAGCUUCAAGGACAGUUGGGGGAGACUGAGGACACACAGACAGACCUACAGGAUAGACUGACACACAUCUCAGAGGAGAAGGACCAACUUAAAACCCAGCUCACCCAAGAACAGUCCCUGAGGCCCUGUGUUCUGAGCUGCAGCAGGAGAAGCAGAGAUUGGAGAGUCAUGUGGGCAAGCUGAAAGACAGUUUGGAUCAGUUGAGAGGAGAGGUGCAGGAGUUAGCCCAGAGGGAGAGGCUACUGGUGGCAUUCCCGGAGCUCAACCCACUGCCUCAGGGAUCUUCACAGAGCACAGGGGACAUGUUGGAGGAUAUGAAGCAGCAGUUGCAGGCUAACUGUGUUCGGAUUAUGGUUCUGGAGCAGGAGAACAGCACCCUGCACAGCAGCCUGGUGAAACUGAGGGACAGAGCCCAACAUGGGGCCUCCAAGACAACCUCUCUGAGCAGCUUUGGAUUAUCUCAGUCUUUGCCUCACGCUCCCAGAGAGAGACAGCUAAAUCCCACCCCCUACGUACAACACAGCCCUCUACAGACCUCCAGUGCAGGAGUGUUGAAAUAUUGAGUGAGGAGGAAGGGAGCAGACAAAGGGGAUUCAACCCUUGUGGUGAUGGGGCCUUGGGAUCAUGUCUCUGCCACCUUCUCUACAGCUCUGGUGCACCAGCGGACCCUACGGCUCUCCCCAGACACCAGCGCAGCCAGAGCCUAAGCAAAGAUACGCCAGGCGUCCUGAACCUGCUCUGUUGGCAAUCUCCAGAGGAAGAAAUAAAUCCAGCACUGGGUGAUCAACCUCAUGUUGACUAUUUUUGGAGCAUAGUAAUGCUGAAAGAGCCUGAGGCAGAAAGAGGCUGUUAGAAGUAUAUAUCAGGCUUCUCCAUCAGGAGACUGCAGUAAGGCAUUGCAUUGUAGCUCGUACACAUAGUUAUUUGUCUAUCAGCUGAGGCAGACACAGAAAGGUUAGAGUUCAGGAUCUUGGCAACAUUGAGCUGGCUUGAAGUUGCUAUUUAACGGAAAAUAAAUUUGAUUCAUACACAAA